rnacentral:lncRNA from 1 species
UUUUUUCAUUCCUUUUUUUUUUUUUCUAUUCAGUCACCAUUUAACCUUUCUUGAACUACCAUCCUGACCUUCUUUGGAAAACAGCCCUCUGAGACUCUCAGGACAGGGGGGAGUUGGGGGACGUUAUUCCUUGUUUUAGAGAUAAGUAAAUUGAAAACUGCGCAAUCUGAGCACUGCAACACCUCUCCACUCCCUUACCUCCAACCAUGCCCCUGCCUCCUACACACACACUGAUUAUUUAAAGAGAUGGACAAUAAGGUUAUUAAUGGGCCUCACGUGGAGCUCUGCAAUCUAGAACGCCUGGUAGUACAGAAUAGAUGCCUAACAUAUCACGAAGCAUUCUAGCUACCAUAAUGAGCUAACGUGCCAGGAAAUGAAAAGAGCCAAAUUCAGUCCUGAUCAUCUAACUUAUCCUCCUGGAUAGAGACAUUUCAGAAGUUCUAUGCUGCAUGGUCCAAUUGCUUGUUUGAAAAAAAAGAAAAAAAGAAUUUCCAACACUAUUAGCUAAAAUAUUUAAAUGUAUUAUAUGAAAGGCAAUUUAACUUAAAUAGGAAUUGAGUGUUAAUUCUUUAUACAUUCUUGAGAUGUUUUAAAAAUUAUGUAUUGUUUGUAUAGUUACUCUGCCCAAAGCUAAUAAAUUUUGUAUACAAUAGAAUUUUAAACCUUUUAAAUGUAAAAGAUUUUUAAAUCUAUACUAUACUCCAGUUUAAGAUGGCAGACUAAGCACAAAUGUUUCUCACACCUCUAAAGAGACCACUGCAACUUCAUUACAUACAAGCUUGUCCCUGAUAAAAGUUGAAAACAAAUUGACAACUUAAACCAUCUGACACUAUCUCAAUGAAGUAGUAAGUUAUUAAAUAUUAUCCUGAAAAUUUAUGUGAAUUGAAAACAUUCAUCUAAAGGUACAGUCUGUCUCUAUAUAGACUACUUUUAAGGGGAAAAUAUUUUAAUGUGUCUUUAAAAUGAAAGAUAAAAUAAUGUGGAAGCUAUAAAAGAGAGAAAGUACUCAAAGGACAGUAAGAAAAUUGAGAAUUCUUGUUUUUCAGAAGGAUUUUCAAUAGCAAUCAUUUCUUCUCUUUUAAUCUAGAACUGAUCAAGGAUGCAGAAUAGAGAAAAAGAUUGCCUGGUGCAUUUCUAGUUCCCUUAGUCUUCAUACAAACACGCAUGCAGGUAGGCACACUUGAAAUAUACAGAAAACUCAUUAAAGAUAGACUAGGGUGGGCCAGGCAUGGUGUCUCACGCCUGUAAUCCCAGCACUUUGGGUGGCCGAGGCGGUGGAUCACGAGGUCAGGAGUUCAAGAUCAGUAUGGCCAAGGUGGUGAAACCCUGUCUCUGCUAAAAAUUAAAAAAAAAUAGCUGGGUGUGGUGGUGGGCGCCUGUAAUCUUAGCUACUUGGGAGGCUGAGGCAGGAAAAUGGCGUGAACCCAGGAGGCAGAGGUUGCAGUGAGCCGAGAUCGUGCCACUGCACUCCAGCCUGGGCAACAGAGGGAGACUCCAUCAAAAAAAAAAAAAAAAAAAAAAAAGACUAGAGUGGCAUAAGAUGAGAUUUGAAGGUAGUAGGGAAGUCAUGAACUUAAUGACUUUGGGUCUGUGGUUUGCUAUAUUCAAUGCUUUUUAUGUCUUUUUAAAUUUUACCCACCCUACCACACUGCUUCUGUGAGUUAAUUUAUAAUUUUCCUCUGGGUAAAAUCAGGCUGCCAAUUACAUCAUUUUCAGAAAAAUAUUAUUUCGUUGUGUUGUUUUGUAUAGAGUGUGUUAAAUUCUUAGAUUUCUUUCAACUUAGUUUCAAAAAUAAUUCCUACAUGUAAACAAGCUAUUUUUACAAUCAGCAUCAUGCACACUAAUUAAAGAAUGAAAAUAUUAAUAUGCUGAUUAAUGUUAGGUUAGAAUCAAUCCUUGACAAUAAGACUAGGCAUGGAAUAUAAAAUGCAAUGAAAAUCCAAAGUACAUGAUGAUUUGGUCUGCAUGAAAUCCCGUCAACAGAUUAUAUAUUUAUUCUUGAUUAUUGUAUUUCCUGGAGUGUAUGUGCAUCAGUCUAUUAAAAAAUUUGUCAGGAAAAUAUAUUAUUUGAGGGAUUUUAUGAUGUCAAUGAAAACCUUAGAAUAAUAAGACCAGUACCAGUGACUUCUGUAUAUUUUCUCACAACAACCGAUCACUUCUUAUUUCUAUGAUAUAUGGUUCCAAAAGAUGAGAAUUUGAUGCUUUCACCACAUAGGAGCUAUUUCCUAGAUCAAAUCUUAAUAUGCAACAAAAAUCAAUCUGACCACAGGGUAUCUACUGUUAGACAACUUAUUCCUCUUUAUUCUAGAUUGAAAGUGUCCGUGACAAUAUAACCUGCUUCCCAGAGGUGAUAUUAAGACCGUUCACGUAAUUUCUUCCCAUUCUUCAAAGAAUUAACAUGUGCCAGGUUGAACUUUAAUCACAAGCCCAGUAUUUAUUAAGAAAUGUCAUCAUUUACUACUUGGAGAGAUGAAUGAGGUUAUGUAGUCAUAACAGGUAAAUUAUUAUUCCUCAAAUAUUCCUAUUCUCUCUUAUUUAUAAAGGAUAAUUCUGAAGAAGUACAUAACUUUCAGGGGAACAUUUUCAAACUCCCUGAAUGGUCUGACCUGCCCCCUGUCCCUCUGUAGUCCUUCCUUUCAUGGGGAUGAUGAGGGCUUUAACAGACUAUGGCUGUGAGGACUUUUGAAAACCAGACAAGAAUAUAUGGGAGAAAAUUCUUACUUGAAAAACAUGUUUAGACCUUGACCACUAAUUAAACUAAAUACUGGUUGUUUUACAUUAGAAUACAAGCAUUCUUCCAUUCUUGUGGGGGAGGUAAGUACUUAUUUAAGAGUUAAAUUUUAUCUGUAAUCCCAGCACUUGAAGAGGCCAAGGCAGGAGGAUCACUUAAGGUCAGGAGUUUCAGACCAGCCUGGCCAACAUGGGGAAACCCCCUCUCUACUAAAAAUAAACAAAUUAGCCGGGC